rnacentral:rRNA from 1 species
GAUAUUACCAGGUUAGUAGUAGUUAUGUGCUUGAAAAUUAAAGAAGAUGGCGGUAUUUUAGUCUAUUCAGAGGAACCUGUCCUAUAAUCGAUGAUCCACGAUUUAUUAUACUUAUUUUAUAAGUUUGCAUAUCGCCGUAGAUUGAAUGUCCUUGAAGGGAUUUAAACAUUCAAGAGGUUUUUAUUUGUGAAAUUAAAUCAGGUCAAGAUGUAGCUAAUAAAUAAGAAGAGAUGGGUUACAAUAAAUUUAUUUAUAACGGAUUAAUAUAUGAAAUUUAUUAUAAAGGUGGAUUUGAGGGUAAUUUUAUACAAAUUUAUAAAA